UACAAUUUUUAAAAUGUGGGAUUCAAUUUUUUUCAAAGUGAGAAUGGUUGGAUGUGGUGACAUGAAAUUUCAUGCUAACCUUUUCUCAGCUGCCUUGUGGAGAAGAAGACAUUUGGUUUCUGAGAGUAGAACUGCAGAAUGUAUGGCUACCCCCCAUUGAGCCUGUAGGGAGAUUUGCUCUUUGUUGUGGGGUUUUUCAGCAGCUUGAUGAGAAUGUGGCUACAAGGAAGAAGAAAAGGCGCAGGAAAUUUUCUGGGAACUUAUGACUAGUGGCAGCAGGUGACCUUGGAAAAUGAUGAGUUAUCAUGGCUUGACUUCUGAUACAGAAUUAGAUCCCCCAUUGUGAUCAUCUCCCCUUUAUGUAAAAACUAAGUAUACAAUGUUUAGCUCCCUGUAUGGUAAUGAAAUCUUAGGCGGUUCUUUUUCCUUAGAUAAGCCACGAAUGCCUUCUACUGUGAUUCCCCACCUUCAUGAGACCAUAGUUCAUAUAUCACAUGAUGAGUAUUUGUAUUUAUAAUUUGUAAAUGUUUACAAGAGAAUUGAUUGUAUUUGUAUUUCUCAUUCAUGUACAAGUAUGCAAAAAUUGAUAGGCCUUUGCCCAUGACAUACUACAUUGUAUGUUCUAAAACCUAGUGAUUGAGGAUAUUGAGGAGAGAAACCCUGGUUUUGAUCAACCUCCUGGAUAGGAACUCUAGACCUUCUUCAAGAUCUUGAAUGCUCGACUCCAAUUUCCCUAAUUUAUUUUGCACAUUAUCAACAUGAACUGGGUUAACUGAUUUGCCCUUGUGAUCAAUGAGGGUGUUCAAUGCAGAAUCCACCUUCUCAAAAUCAGUGAGGCCUGCUGGUGCUUCCUCACACGCUACCUGCUUGUGGUGGAUCAGUUUUGAAACUAAAGACCAGCUGCUUGACUUUGAUCUCACAGUUGAUCCAGAUAUUGAGGAUAACAAAGAUUCAAGCACUGUGAGAGUCACCAUUUCCACCUCUCUUAACAUGCUGACCAUGGAGAGAGCCUCAGAGUCUGUGUUCAAGGGAGAGAAACUGCACUUGUUCUUCAUGCCCUUCAGAUUGUUUAGGGCCUUGUGGAUUGCCUUCAUCACCUUCUUCCUAGAGGUUAAAUAUUCCUCAACCUUGGUUGAGAUCCUAUAUUCACCUCUUCGCCUUCUGCGUAGAGUUGAUUGAAGUUCAUUUGUAUGUUCCUUUGUCUGCAACAGUGCUUCCUUAGCAGUGCCACAUGCAUCUAAUAGGCUGAGAGAUCCCUCCAUCAGCUCAUCGACCCAUAUCUUGUGCCCGUGUUGGGCUAAGAUCUGUUGGGUGAGUGGUAAUAGAAGCAAAUUGUCUACACAAUCAUGUAGAUCUUUUAGGCCACUAAGUUUGUGGCUUAUUGACGAUGAUGAGGUGGCCUCAGAAGCUUGUAAUCUGCAUAACUGCUCAUCAAAUUCAGGAAUGAGAGGGUGUGGCCUAGAGGGCAAGCUAAUGGAGCGAGCAUGGUAAUUGGCUUUUGGGUUUAGAGGAGUGACAGCCAUUUUUUCUUCCUUGGGAGAAAAGAAGGCCUGGAAGUUGAAUCUAUAAUUUGGCCUUGCAAUUUGCAGAUGCUUUGCGUUGCUCUAUCAUCUUCCCAGUAUAUAUAAUGGAGUCAGGAGACAAUAAGAAUUCCUUCCUCUCCAAAAAUCAAUGAAUGGUAAUGUGGUUAUGAUUUUGAUCUUAAUGAUAUCUCAGCGGUGUUUAGUCAUUGUCUCCCUCCAACCAGUUCCCCAACUCACCACCCAUUUAAUUUAACUUAGAAAAUCACAGGCUUAACGUUAUGUGAUCCUAGAAAUAAUUCUAGUAUAUGCAGCCCACGAGUGGCAGUCAAAAUCUCCUCUGAUAGAAGUAAUCUUUCUGCUCCUAUUCAUAUAUGUAUAUACAUCAUUUUUUUUUUGUUUUGUCUUUUUUUGCAUAUAUUACAGUUGUGUGACAAUAACCAAACAUGAGGAAUAAUUCAAUUCCAUAUGUUCCACCACUGUGAAAUUUGAUAUUCAGAAGACAACAGGUCUGCAUCACUCAUGCAAGCAUAUUCUGAGUAGGAUUUGCAAUUUCUUUUAAGGAUAGAGGGCCUUAAAAUUAAUCUGAUAUUGUGGAUAUUGUGAAGAAGAAAGUUAAUUUUCUAGCAAACCUGCAUGUUUCUUUUUGUUGGUAUAGUCAUAUUGCUUGUCCCUACAUCAUAUGAGAAGGAAAUUUCACCAAGAAAAUGAAAAAGUUUGAUGAUUAUGAGCACAGAAAUAUCUGAACAAAAAGAAUUUGAUGAGGAUUUUUCCUUCCGUACUAGGUCUCAACUCUGCUUGUUAUCACAAACCAGCACAAGACAAUCAAAACAAUUUGUAUGGCAUUAUGUUUAUGGAUCUUGCAUUUGAUUCAUCUGUUUGGAAAUCUGAUUAUUAGAAUCAAAUGGGAUUAACUUUUACCAGGUACAAAAAAUGGUAGAGUUUAAGCGCAAGGCCCUUCAUUUUUUAUGAAGGAACAAACUACGGAGGACAGUAGUUGGCUCUUGCAACAUUUAUCUCCUUGCCACUGGCUGUGGAUAUCGGUAAGUAUUCUUCAACCUCAUUUGAAGGCCCUUAUUCACUAUGGUCUUCUGCACAAAACUGAUUGUAGUUCUUGGACGUGUUCCUUAGCAAUGCUGCAUACAUCAGGCUACUUAGAUUGUCCCUUAAUGAUGAUUAUGAACAGGUGGUUUCAGAAUUUCUUAAUCUACACAAAUGCUCAUCUAAUUGAGGAAUCAAGGGAUGAGGCCUAGAGGGCAAACUGAUUGAGUGAGCAUGGAACCGGUUUUGGGGACUGACAGAGAAGAAGCCAUCUUUGUUACAGGAGGCCAGGCACUAACAAUGUGCAGGUCAGAUCUAGCAAGUUCCCUUCCUCCCUUGGCAUCUGCUCAAUAUAUAUAUAUAUGGUGGAAGAGAGGAAUAAGAAAUCUCAUCUUUUCAACUCCCAUUGACUCACAGCAUCAUUUUGAGUAGAUCUAAACUCAAAUGUCUGCCAAUGUUUGUUCAAUGUUCCUCACCCCAAUUCAUAAUUACAAUUACAUGCACACGAGAGGGUCUCUUCAGUCUUAUAAUAUGGAAAUUGAAGUGAUCAUGUGAAUGGUGUCAACCCUAUUUAAGACAAAAGGGAUCUUGGCAGGCUUGAAAUCACUGUAAAAUACAUCACUUGCUCGAUUCUUUUCUGAUUAGUUUAUGGAAAAAGAAAAUGCAGCCUGGAUUAGAUUAGAAGAUAUGCCAUAUGCUUAUUUUCAGGGUGAAAGGUUUCGUAUCUAUGCCAAUGGUCCUUUGACAUCAGUUUAGUUUUGUUUAACCUUUUCCAUGUGUGCUAGCUUGUAAUUGCAAUUCAUUUUGAAAGAUAAUGAUGAACCCAAUAUAUAAUCCAUACUUAGGGAGAAGUUGAAUCCACAGAUCAGUCUUGCAAUUUGCAGAUGGU
rnacentral:lncRNA from 1 species